rnacentral:tRNA from 1 species
GGGGGUGUAGCUCAGUUGGCUAGAGCGUUUGAAUGGCAUUCAAAAGGCCAGGAGUUCAAUUCUCCUCACCUCCA